UGGCGCAGUGUAGUGUGGCUGUCGAGACUGGAGGCGUCGAGCCCAAGGAACAUGGAUCCUUCUCUAUGCACAUGUGCACCGUGGCGACUGUGACCAUGCAUGGGAAUCCAAAGGCGAAGGCUGCUAUUUUGCUCUGCAGUCAGUUGUUUAUCUAAUUUUUUUAGGCCUUACCGAAAAAUUUUGGUUUUAGGUUAUUGUAGCACUUUCGUUUGUAUUUAGUAAUUAUUAUCUAAUUAUAGACUAAUUAGAGUUAAAAGAUUCGUCUCGUAAAUUAUAAAUAAACUGUGUAAUUAGUUAUUCUUUAGUCUAUAUUUAAUGUUUUAUGCAUGCGUUGAA
rnacentral:lncRNA from 1 species